GCCGACAGGCGUAGGCGAUGGAUAACAGGUUGAUAUUCCUGUACCACCUAUAAUCGUUUUAAUCGAUGGGGGGACGCAGUAGGAUAGGCGAAGCGUGCGAUUGGAGUGCACGUCUAAGCAGUAAGGCUGAGUAUUAGGCAAAUCCGGUACUCGUUAAGGCUGAGCUGUGAUGGGGAGAAGACAUUGAGUCUUCGAGUCGUUGAUUUCACACUGCCGAGAAAAGCCUCUAGAUAGAAAAUAGGUGCCCGUACCGCAAACCGACACAGGUAGUCAAGAUGAGAAUUCUAAGGUGAGCGAGCGAACUCUCGUUAAGG
rnacentral:rRNA from 1 species